UUGGUGCUUGCAUCAUGAUUUACAUUUGAGUGAGUGGCGAACUGGUGAGUAACACGUGGGAAACCUGCCCAGAAGCGGGGGAUAACACCUGGAAACAGAUGCUAAUACCGCAUAACAACUUGGACCGCAUGGUCCGAGUUUGAAAGAUGGCUUCGGCUAUCACUUUUGGAUGGUCCCGCGGCGUAUUAGCUAGAUGGUGAGGUAACGGCUCACCAUGGCAAUGAUACGUAGCCGACCUGAGAGGGUAAUCGGCCACAUUGGGACUGAGACACGGCCCAAACUCCUACGGGAGGCAGCAGUAGGGAAUCUUCCACAAUGGACGAAAGUCUGAUGGAGCAACGCCGCGUGAGUGAAGAAGGGUUUCGGCUCGUAAAACUCUGUUGUUAAAGAAGAACAUAUCUGAGAGUAACUGUUCAGGUAUUGACGGUAUUUAACCAGAAAGCCACGGCUAACUACGUGCCAGCAGCCGCGGUAAUACGUAGGUGGCAAGCGUUGUCCGGAUUUAUUGGGCGUAAAGCGAGCGCAGGCGGUUUUUUAAGUCUGAUGUGAAAGCCUUCGGCUCAACCGAAGAAGUGCAUCGGAAACUGGGAAACUUGAGUGCAGAAGAGGACAGUGGAACUCCAUGUGUAGCGGUGAAAUGCGUAGAUAUAUGGAAGAACACCAGUGGCGAAGGCGGCUGUCUGGUCUGUAACUGACGCUGAGGCUCGAAAGUAUGGGUAGCAAACAGGAUUAGAUACCCUGGUAGUCCAUACCGUAAACGAUGAAUGCUAAGUGUUGGAGGGUUUCCGCCCUUCAGUGCUGCAGCUAACGCAUUAAGCAUUCCGCCUGGGGGAGUACGGCCGCAAGGCUGAAACUCAAAGGAAUUGACGGGGGCCCGCACAAGCGGUGGAGCAUGUGGUUUAAUUCGAAGCUACGCGAAGAACCUUACCAGGUCUUGACAUACUAUGCAAAUCUAAGAGAUUAGACGUUCCCUUCGGGGACAUGGAUACAGGUGGGUGCAUGGUUGUCGUCAGCUCGUGUCCUGAAAAGUUUGGGGUUAAGUCCCGCAACGAGCGCAACCCUUAUUAUCAGUUGCCAGCAUUAAGUUGGGCACUCUGGUGAGACUGCCGGUGAAAACCCGAGGAAGAAGGGGGGGGAGGAAGCCAAAAACUUCAAGGCCCCUUAUAACCGGGGGUACACCCGGCUCCAAUGGAAGGGUGCACCCAAUUGUGGAACCCCCCCAAGAAAAGCUAAUUCUUUAAACAACUUUC
rnacentral:rRNA from 2 species